rnacentral:tRNA from 2 species
GGCGGAGUAGCUCAGCUGGUUAGAGCAUCGGAAUCAUAAUCCGGUUGUCGGGGGUUCAAGUCCCUCCUCCGCUACCA